UACGUAGGGUGCGAGCGUUAAUCGGAAUUACUGGGCGUAAAGCGUGCGUAGGUGGUUCGUUAAGUCCGUUUGUGAAAGCCCCCGAGCUCAACUUGGGAAUUGCAGUGGAUACUGGCGAGCUGGAGGACGGUAGAGGGGGGGUGGAAUUCCCGGUGUAGUGGGUGAAAAUGCGUAGAGAUCGGGAGGAACACCUGUGGCGAAG
rnacentral:rRNA from 1 species